CCUGCCCCCUCCCCAGGCUUCUACCUCCUCUCUCCUUGACAAGCUUCUAACACCCCCCAGGACCACACAAAGGCCAGGCCCCGCUGAAGUACUGAGGGUUUGCUCAUCAAGGCCCAAGAAAGUCUGUCAGCUCACAAUGGAUGACAUCACUGAGAUAGUGCCUUCCCAACUGCUACCAACUCAGAAACACGGAACCACCAAAACCUAGCAUCCUUCUUCAAUGUCACCUAAUCCACACUUCUCUCAUUUUACAGGCUCAGUUCUUAGCAAUCCUUAAAAAAAAAAAAGCCUUCCAUUUUUGCCUGCAUUUGUUUCCUCCUUUACACUGAAAAACUCCUUGAAAAAGUUUCAUUUCUUUGCCACCUAACACACUCAGUUCCUUAGAAUUUGGCUUCCAUUUCUAUGAUGAUGCAGAAAUUACCCUAAGUCCUAUGAUUUUUUCUUCAAUUCAUUGCUCUUCAAUCAACCAAUCAAUCAAUAAACAUUGUU